rnacentral:rRNA from 1 species
UACAGAGGUCCCAAGCGUUGUUCGGAUUCAUUGGGCGUAAAGGGUGCGUAGGUGGCGCUGUAAGUCGGGUGUGAAAUUUCGGAGCUUAACUCCGAAACUGCAUUCGAUACUGCGGUGCUCGAGGACUGGAGAGGAGACUGGAAUUCAUGGUGUAGCAGUGAAAUGCGUAGAGAUCAUGAGGAAGACCAGUGGCGAAGGCGGCGCCCUGGCUCGCAACUGACGCUCAGACACGACAGCAUGGGGAGCGAACGGG